AGUGAACGCUGGCGGUAGGCCUAACACAUGCAAGUCGAACGGCAGCACAGUGAGAGCUUGCUCUUACGGGUGGCGAGUGGCGGACGGGUGAGGAAUACAUCGGAAUCUACUUUUUCGUGGGGGAUAACGUAGGGAAACUUACGCUAAUACCGCAUACGACCUACGGGUGAAAGCAGGGGAUCUUCGGACCUUGCGCGAUUGAAUGAGCCGAUGUCGGAUUAGCUAGUUGGCGGGGUAAAGGCCCACCAAGGCGACGAUCCGUAGCUGGUAUGAGAGGAUGAUCAGCCACACUGGAACUGAGACACGGUCCAGAGUCCUACGGGAGGCAGCAGUGGGGAAUAUUGGACAAUAGGCGCAAGCCUGAUCCAGCCAUACCGCGUAGGUGAAGAAGGCCUUCGGGUUGUAAAGCCCUUUUGUUGGGAAAGAAAAGCAGCAGGUUAAUACCCCGCUGUUCUGACGGAACCCAAAGAAUAAGCACCGGCUAACUUCGUG
rnacentral:rRNA from 1 species